CCUACGGGAGACAGCAGUAGGGAAUAUUGCUCAAUGGGGGAAACCCUGAAGCAGCAACGCCGCGUGGAGGAUGAAGGUUUUAGGAUUGUAAAACCCUUUUGGUAGAGAAGAGAAUGACGGUAGCUAAGGAAUAAGCACCGGCUAACGCCGUGACAGCAGCCGCGGGAAUACGGAGGGUGCAAGCGUUAAUCGGAAUCACUGGACGUAAAGGGCGCGUAGGGGGGAUUGGAAGUCAGAUGUGAAAUCCUAUGGCUUAACGAUAGAACUGCAUUUGAAACUGUUAUUCUAGCGUAUGGGAGGGGUAGGUGGACUUCUUGGUGUAGCGGUUAAAUCCUUAGAGAUCACG
rnacentral:rRNA from 1 species